rnacentral:rRNA from 1 species
GAUGAACGCUAGCUACAGGCUUAACACAUGCAAGUCGCGGGGCAGCAUGGGGGUUGCUUGCAAUCCCCGAUGGCGACCGGCGCACGGGUGAGUAACGCGUAUCCAACCUGCCCUUCACCACGGGAUAACCCGGCGAAAGUCGGACUAAUACCGUAUGUUGUCCAUUGACGGCAUCCGAUUUGGACGAAAGGCUUGGCGGUGAGGGAUGGGGAUGCGUCCGAUUAGCCAGACGGCGGGGUAACGGCCCACCGUGGCUACGAUCGGUAGGGGUUCUGAGAGGAAGGUCCCCCACACUGGAACUGAGACACGGUCCAGACUCCUACGGGAGGCAGCAGUGAGGAAUAUUGGUCAAUGGGCGUAAGCCUGAACCAGCCAAGUAGCGUGCAGGAUGACGGCCCUAUGGGUUGUAAACUGCUUUUAUGCGAGGAUAAAGUGGCCCACGUGUGGGCUUUUGCAGGUACCGCAUGAAUAAGGACCGGCUAAUUCCGUG